rfam:Homo sapiens chromosome 11, GRCh38 reference primary assembly.
GCCGGGCGUGGUGGUGUGUGCCUGUAAUCCCAGCUACUCAGGAGGCUGAGGCAGGAGAAUUGCUUGAACCCAGGAGGUGGAGGUUGCAGUGAGCAGAGAUCGCGCCACUGCACUCCAGCCUGGGUGACAGAGCAAGGCUCUGUCUCAA